AUGAGCUGCAGAAUCAGGCUCCUCCCAAGCAGACCCAUCUCUUUCAGGACCAUAAGCAGCUCUGCUCCUCGUCUCCCACGCUGUGGACAGGGAUCCCUGGUAGGCACUGUUUUCUCUGUCCCUAGGAUGCCCAGGUCCUUCGGCUGCAGGCUCCCGUCACCCAGCCCUUGCUCCCUGCACAGGGUGGUACUCAGUGAAUGUGUGGUGGCUCUUCGUGGGAAGAGAGGGCAGAAGAAAACCUGUCCCCUCCACUUGCUUUCCUGCUGUGGCUUUUCUCAGCUCAAGUGCUUCCCUUCCCAACUGACCACAUAUGAGGCCUCACUUUGUGCUCCAUCCAUUCAAAACCAAGCGUCCAAAUGAUGCUCCCUUGGGGAUUUUCUUUAGAACAAAGACAGUUUUCAUCAGCACUCUUUUCUCCAGCUCCUGGGCUCUUUCACCUUUCGUGAACUGAGCCCCCUUCUGAAGUAAGGCAUGGGCACCCCGAAUGGAAAUGGCUGGAUUAAUGCGCAUGCAUGUCCACACUGGUGCAGGGCACCUGCUUUUCUGGGACAAUUGCCAUCUGGAAUCAGACGCCUUCCUCAUUGUGUGCCUAUUUCUGGACAAAGAAAAGGAGAACUGGAUGAGAAGCAGGCCUCCUCUCCCACAUCCUCCAGCCGCCUGGCAGGCCCAACUAAGACACCCGCUCCAGCUCAGGUGGUUUACGUGGCUCUAGUGAGUGGAGCAAUUGUGGCGUUUCACCCCAACCUUCUGCAUAGCAGCAUUAGCAGAUCAGACACUCAGGUGUGGGACAACAUGUCCUGAAAGGCAUCUCUGGGUUCCCCCUCCAGGGCCUUGGGUGCUGCCCUGCCUGCUCUGCUGAUGGCUGCCUACUGCCCCCCCCCACCACCAGAGCAGCAGAGUUCCCCUCAGUAGCUUUCAGGGGCUGGAAGGAAAGUGGGACGCCUCUCCCGGCAGGUAAGGCUACCAUUGGUCUCCUGGCUCUCGGUGGGCCGGGGGCCCAUCCCUGGAUAGCAGCUGUGGGGAAAGACAUGGCUCUGGAGUUGGAGAUGGGAGUCAGAUGCUGAGACCUCCAAUAAUGUCCAUUUGUGGAGGCUUUACUAUUUAUAACAUUUUUGUUUUCUACGAUGAAUAGAUAAUGCUUUUAGAACAGAAAAGUGAAACGUAAAUCAACUCCACUAGAAACAGGAAGCUCAAAAUUUAGAUCGGACCAAGUCUUUCCACCUAGGGCAGGUCUAGAGAUAGAAGAAAGACUGAUGCUUUUGGCAGGAGAGGAAAUGGAGGUGAGGGGGCUGUGCUGGAGAAGUCAGCACCUGCUGGGGGGCGGGGGAGGGCGGGGUAGAAUUUCAGUUCUGCUCUGAAUCUUUCCUUAGAAUACAAUAAAAUAUUUUCACGUAAGAUACUGGUCUGGAGGGCAGGCAUGGUGGCUCAUGCCUGUAAUUCCAGCACUUUGGGAGGUCAGGGCUGGUGGAUCAUCUGAAGUCAGGAGUUCCAGACCAGCUUGACCAACAUGGUGAAACCCCACCUCUACUAAAACUGCAAAAAUUAGCCGGGUGUGGUGGCGCAUGCCUGUAGUCCCAGCUACUCAGGAGGCUGAAGCAGGAGAAAUACCUGAACCCGGGAGGCAGAGGUUGCAAUGAGCCAAGAUCAUGUCAUUGUACUCCAGCCUGGGCAACAAGAGUGAAACUCUGUCUCGGCUGGAGGGGGCAGUGCGGUGGGGUGGGGGGCGCGUAGGGAGAAAAGAUACUGGUCUGGAGUGAUUUAUUUUAGAAAUAUCAGAUUCUGUCAAGUUUUUAUGUAUUGUCUUUGGGAGUGAUUGUACAAAUAGUGCAAUGUUUUGAAUAAUCCAAGAUCUAAAUGCAAACACAAUUUAAUAAAAUUAGAGACAAGGAAAACUAUACAUGGGGAGACCAUAUUACUCUUGACAGGAAAUCACUGUGUAUGUUCAAUUAUAUUAAUGUAUUUGUCAUUUGUGUCUAUCAUAUAUGUAUAUACAUAUAUAUGUGUGUGUGUGUGUGUGUGUAUCACCUGGGGAAAGAAACUAUACACCUAAUCAAAUGAAAAGUGAUAAAUUGGACAAAUAUUUUCGGCACAUAUGUCACACAAAAAUAUUCACAAGCCUGUACAAGGAGAUCUCACAAGCUGAUAAGAAAAACCAGUGAGCAAUUAGAAGACAAGGUCAAGGGGAACAAACAGCUCAUGCUUCACUUGACUUGGUGAUUGUUCAAUACCAAGGGAUCCCAUCCCAUCCGUAUGAAGAGCUGGCUUCACAGGAACACAUGGAACCCUUGUUGGUAACAUGGGGAGAGGCCUGGCCCAGGGUGCUGGGGACCCCCAGUGGGAUUGAAGGGAAGACUCUUGGGAGCACACAGACAAUGGGCAAAGGGGAUCUGAAAGACAAGUUUUCUGCAACAAACUCACAGGGGGAUCAGGUGUCUACCAGGAGAAUGUGGCUGAGCAGGAAGCAAGUGCUAGAAGAACCUGAAAGGUCUUAAUGUCUGUUUCCUUCACAAGGAUGCUUCCCAGUGAAGACAGAGACCCUGACUAUUUGCUCACCAUGUUACUUUUAGCAUCUGCUCUGUGCCAGUGCUCCUUAAGUAUCAGCUAAAUGACCAAAUGAGUGAACCCAUGAAUGAAUCCAUCAGGUCUCCUGGGCCUGCAGUCUCUGCUGUGAUGGAGAAGGCUGCCUAAUGUACGUGUAUUAAAAAUACCCCUUAUCUGAAGCUCCAAUUUUGCAUCCACUGAUGACAUCCCCUGUCAUGUGUCUACACUGUUUUUGUUUCCACUGAACUUUCGGUAUAAAUUUAGCUAUUUGUGUGGUAUCUUCCCCUCUUCCUCUCCCCUCAAAUUUGCUGUUUAGUCCCAUAGCUUUAAGGGAUUAUUUGAAUUCAAACAAAACGACAAACUCCUACUUUUGUUUCAUUCUUUGAAAAACAAAUUCUAUAUUUCACUGGAAAAAAUAUAUUUCUCUUCCAGUUAGCUUUCUAAAGGGAGAGCUGGCAGGAAGUAAAGGAGCUGAAAAUUGCCAACAUUCCAUUUUUAUUUAAUGCAUGUUACACAGACAUGGUCGUGUUUCAAUAGAUAGGAACAAAUGCUACUAUUACAUGCAAAGGUUAACAAUACAAAGUAUUAUUACCAUAAAUCUGCAUAACAUCUAGAAGAAAUAAAAACUACUUUCUAACUCUGGAGCACCCAUUUCAAUAAUAGCAGCAUUUGUUGGGGCGGCUUGAGCGUAUGCCCCUGUGGUUAGGGAGCACGCAUGUGUUCUUAAACACCAAAUGCAUUCACAGUUUUGAGGGAGAGAGGGAAUGGAAUUCAGCAGAAAUAUGUAUCUAAAUAAUGCAUGGUUAUGUCUCUACAGUAAAAUAUACUACCAUCAAAACCAUUUAAGAAUAAUAACCUAAAUGCUUUUGAUAGGAAAGGUUUGGGCCAUGUUUCUUGACAUAUUGUACUCAAAUUAGCUAUGGAAAUAACCACAUAAGAGCUGUGGUGUUUCCCCUAUGGGGUCAGAACCGUUUCUUGUCAAAAGCGUACGAGUUACUCUAUACCUCUAGCCAUGGCUCUGCCAAGGCAACAACCCAUAAACAGCAAAAGACGAGGCAGAGCCAAGCAGAUGCCAAUGGCUCCAGGUUCCUGCAAACCUGUUCCUGUUGCUGCUUGUCUCCUGCCCAGAUGUCACAGCCAUUAGUACCUGCAGGUCCCACCAGAUUGAGACAAUGAGACUUGUAAGCGUCAUCAUCAAAAAGUACAGCAAACAUAGGCUAUAAAAGCAAACUCCAUAACUGACAACUACAGUAGGCUGAAUAAUGACCCCCAGAGAUACCAGGUAAUAACUCCUGUGUCCCAUAAAUGUUACCUUAUAUGGAAAAUGGGUCUUUGCAGGUGUGAUUAGGUUAAGAAUUUUGAGAUGGGGAGAUUAUCCUGAGUUAGCCUGGUACUCCCUAAAAGUAAUCACAAGGGUCCUUAUAAAAGAGUGACAGAAGGAGAGUCAACACACACAGGAGAGGAGACGGUAAUGUGAUCACACAGGCAGAGAUUGGAGUGAUAUGGUCACAAGCCAAGGGAUGCAGCAGCCCCAG
ensembl:lncRNA